AACGUAGGUUCCGAGCGUUAUCCGGAUUUACUGGGCGUAAAGCGCGUUCAGGCGGUUUGGCAAGUCUGGCCUGAAAUCUCUCGGCUCAACCGGGAGAGGUUGUCCGAUACUGCUGGACUUGAGGGCAGUAGAGGGUGGUGGAAUUCCGGGUGUAGUGGUGAAAUGCGUAGAUAUCCGGAGGAACACCAGUGGCGAAAGCGGCCACCUGGACUGCACCUGACGCUGACACGCGAAAGCUAGGGGAGCGAACGGG
rnacentral:rRNA from 1 species